rnacentral:misc_RNA from 1 species
UCCCUCUAAAGCGCACACGCCACCAUCCGCAGCACCGCUAAGCUACCCGUACGCCACCACCACCCCCUCCUCCUCUCUCUGUCUCUCGGCCCACCGCCACCACCACCAUCCGUAUCAACAAGGGGCAAUCGCCACUUUCUGGGCUGGUUCCUUGCUGCCGCCGUUGCACGUCGCAAUACAAACACAUACAGCAAGCACAGGCACACACACGCACUCAUGCAGUGGAUCGACAGCUGGGGUGCCAACCACUACGAUGGCUAUGCCUUCAAGCAGUGGCUGCUCGACAACCAUGAUAUUGCCAUCUACGUUGCCGUCGGGUACAUCACCUUCGUUUUCCAGGCUCCCAAGCUGGUGUCCAAGUACCUGAACCUGCCCGCGAAUGCCAAGAGCAGCCCCCUUGUGCCGGUGAUCAACAAAACUUGGGCCGUGUGGAACAUUCUCCUGUCCGCCUUCGCCUUCUACGGCACAACGCGCGUGGUGCCGCCGCUGCUGUACAACCUCAAGACGUACGGCCUGCACGACACCCUCUGCACCUUCCGCCCGGAUGAGUUCUACACGUCCGACGUUGGUGUGGCGCUCGGCCUCUUCACCAUCUCCAAGGUGCCAGAGUUCGGCGACACCUUCUUCCUGGUUCUGAAGGGCACGAAGCUGCGCUUUCUCUCCUGGUUCCACCACACCGCCAUGUUCCUGUACGUGUGGCUGUCGUACGAGACCGGCAGCAGCACCCUCAUCUGCGCCGCCUCCAUGAACUACUUUGUUCACACUAUCAUGUACUUCUACUUCUUCCUGUCGGAGGCCGGCUUCAAGAACCUCGCCCGGCCAUUCGCCAUGUACAUCACGAUGCUGCAGCUGGUGCAGAUGGUCGGUGUGAUGUUUGUGUCGGGCUACGUCAUUGCCCAGAAGUACAUCCUGGCUGGCCAGGGUAUCAUGGACGGCAUGGAGGGGUCGUGCUCUGGCACCACCAUGGCAACGGCCCGCCUUCAGCUCGGCAUCUAUACGGCGUUUCUCUACCUGUUCGGAGAGAUGUUCGUGAACAAUCACGUGCGCCCGCGCGCUGCCAAGAAGGUGGACUAAGCAUCCCUCUUCCCGUGCUGCCUUUCCACGCGCGCAUUCUUGUGAUGGUAAUCGCCGUUGGGGAAAAACGUCUGUUGCUCGGGUGUGUCUGUCGAACUUUUGAAUGCACACUCAGCGGGGUGCCUUUGUGGUUGCGUGUGCUAUUCAUCAUUCGUCUCCGUCGAUCUCUCGACCGCUGAAACGUUUUGUGAGGAUCUGGCGAGACACGUAGCGAGAAAGAAAAGGAGCGACGAGACAGGCCCAAGGCAGCCGCGUGGCACAUGCACAUAUAUAUAUACAUAUAUAUAUAUACACCUAUAUAUAUAUAUAUUAGGUGCGGGCAUGCCCAUGUCUGUCUCUCUCUAUCUUUCCUCUCCCUUGCUCUGCUCCUGCGAAUAUGCGUCUUUUUUUUUCGUUUGUGUGUGUGUGGCUGUGUGGUUGUGUGCAACGGCGUUUUUCUGCAGAUGUGAAGAGGGGCACGCAGAGAAAGGGAAGAGGCACAGUUUCAAAGAAGAACGCAACAACUUCUUUUUUUUUGCUUUUUCUCUUUGUUUCACGGGUGUUCUUGCUCUACCUCUCCUUCUGUGGCACACACACAACCAUACGCACGCACAAGCACGCAUGCCCUUAUUCCAGUAGCGUGACGCCUUUGGUCGGGAGACACUGUAUCCUUUCCUCCCUCUCCACCCCGCCCCGCCCCUCACUCUCGCGCACGCACAGACACCCGCUCUUUCUCUCUCCUAUUCCGCAAGGCGUGCGGGUGAUGUGCAUCUGUGCCUCUGUGCUCAGGUGUUCGUUUGAGGCAGCGGAGUUGGAGGAGGGGGAGGGGGGCAGUGACGGUGGCGGCUGUGUGUGCAUCUCACUCGCCGCCCUCGGCCCCCUCCGACACACACACACACAUCCUCCCGUGUGUAUGAUGUGCAUGUGUGUGUGUACAUGUUUUUCCAUAGUUUUUCUUUUUUCUUCGUCUGUUUCUUUGCUUUCUUUUUAUUUUUUCUUUCACUUUUUCUUCUCCUUUUGUGUGUGUGCACAUCCCCUACAAGGCGACCACACUCAAACCCGAAUCCACCUUUCCACCCCACCCCCAUGUGUGUGUGUGUGUGUGUGUGUGUGCGUGUGUGUGUGUGUGUGGUGGUGGUUUGUUUCUCGUUCUUUCCUUUGUUUGUUUUUCCUUGUUUAAUGGGUAGCCCCCACUCCUUUCCUCCUCCUCCUCCCCCUUUCCCCUUUCCGCCCCCUCACCUGAAAUAUAUCGUCAAACGGAAAAGAAAAGGAACCCACCCCCCACACACACACACACGCAUCAUACAACAACAGAAUAACGAAAAAAAAAGGAAGACAACGUAAAAGAUGUUGGUUCGUGAGGGGAGCCGGUAGAAAAGGAGUCGGAAAGGCAGAAAGGACAGCAACCGGCAAUGUAAACGAAAAGAAGAUGAAGGAAAAAAAAAUGAUAGCGAUCGACAGACAGACAGAAAGGAACGAACAGCGACAAACAAAAUGGGGAGAGAGAGGACGGCUCCAGAGCGCAAGAACGGAGCCUCCCGCCCAUCCCCCCCCGCCCCUCCUCUUCCUCCUCCUCACCUCACCUCACGCACACCGAUUCCGUGAAGAAAAGGGACAAUCAUAUAGAAGAAAGGAGCAGACGAGCAUGGAGUGGCGGUGGUAAUCUUCCUGCGUGGAAUGGCCCGACCUCCCCCUCUGCAGAUGCGCACCCUCAUGCCCCUCGCCCUUCUCCUCCUCCGUCCCCUUUGCUUAUUGAUUUGCCUUUGCUUGUUGGUUUUCAGCUCCUCCUUCUCUUUUUUUUUCGCUCCCCCUCCCCUCCUCCACCUCCAUCCACACUUUAUCCUCUCCUUCCUCCCUGCUCCCUCCCCUCCCACUGACCGAUACAUAUAUUCAUAUGUAUGUAUAUCUUCGCUUCUCUUAUGGUUUUUCGGGGGAGUUUUCGGUUUUUUCUCUUCUUUCUGUUUUUGUUUUCGUUUUCUUUUUCGUUUCUGGGCUCGUACAGGUAGCGAGGCACGUUCUUCGUCUACUCUUGUGCGAGUGCAACUCUCCAUACACCCACACCAACGCACGCCCACAGGCACAUAGUCUCCUUUUUCUUCCCUACUGUGUUUGUGUGUGUGUGUGUGUUAUGCCUCCUUUUCCUCCCCCUCUCCCUCAAGGAUCGAUUUUGAAAGUGCUUUAGCUGUUGGUCUUGUAUUCCUCCUUCUGAGUUCACUGCCACCUGUCCGCGUUUGUGUAGGUGUGUGUGUGUGUGUGUGUGUGUGUACGUGUAUCACGUAUCAGUACUUGCCUUCUGAUUUCUUUCCUUGAAGUGCUUCGCUUGUUCGCGCGCACGUGUGUAUGUGUGUGUGUGUGUGUGCGUGUGUGUGCGUGUUUAUGUGCGUGCUCGGGUAUGUGGAAGGUCAUACAAUCGUCUCUCUUUCCUUUCCGUCUUUCUGAUGGCGCACAAGUGUGCAUGCGUACUUUGUAUGGUUUUUGUGUAAACGUGCGCGGAGGGGGUGGGGAGUGGAACCCAACAACAUGGAUGGAUGCGCGCACACUUGCACUUGAACACCUGCAUGCUUACACCCACAGACAUACAUAAGUAUUGAAGAGCCACAAAGUAGACG